AGUGUAUGUAGGAAAUCGGGCCGAGGCGGCAGGGUAUGCCAGUUUACUCACUGCAUUCCGGGGAAAAAAAAACUCACACAAUUCGCUCGCGGCUCCCCUCGAAAAGCUCUUUGAACCCGGCGAUUUGAUAUGCAUAAGCUGUAUUUGAUCGCUCUAAAGAUAGAUUUAUCUAUGUAUGAAUUUCUAGGGGGAUAGACAAUUUAGCUGUAAGUCGACACGAAUUGAGAUUCCCCCUCAAAGCUGCCAAGUCAUUGCCAUUGACAAAUGCAUAAUAAAUGAAUGAAAUGAAAUCAACUGAAUGAAUUAUGGGUAAAUAUUUACAUUCACAUGAUGCCCUUUGGCGACUCCACAAGUGUGUGCAAACUUUUUCAUAACAGCGAUUGCUACUGUUCCUCUUUCGGGGAAGCCACCAAUACACGGGUAGUCUGCAACAUUUGAGGCCUAAUAAUUGCAUAAUCGUGUGGACAACUUUAUUCACAUUUAAGUCGAAUAAAAUUGUUUGAUGAGUACUAUUCGUAAUCAGCAAGGUUGUCAGCUGUAAUCUCUCAAAUGGGUUCAUUUCAAUGGGAACUCUCACCUCUGAAAACUAUGCUUUACACAACAGAUGCUGCUGCUGCUGCUAUCUCUGCUUCCGAUUUUACAUUAUUGAGUAUUAUACAGUAUGCGCUUUCUAAGGCAGUGAUAAGAACCCAAUGGCAAAUGGAAAAAAUCUGGUGUCAAGCGAGGGCAACAAGGUGCUGUUAAAUGUAUAUUAUAUUAUCUCGCUAUAUACGAAGAUGUUCCGUUUGAAGAUGUCAUCACAUUUGAGUGUUUGACUAUCGCCAGAUGAGGAUGAGGAUGGACACAUCCACAUCUUCCACAUCGCUUCCCUAGUUCAGGAAUCCAUGGGUCAAGCUCGCACACGCCGCGGCAAUUAAUUUUAUACGGGUUAGUCACUUGCCAUCGCUCUGUUCCUUAUUCUUUUACUUGUUUCUAAUUUCUUUUAUUUUUUCGCGAAGUCUCCGCUUAUCAAAAUUAGGUCAAACUUGAUGUAGUCACUUUUUGUUGAUUAGUUACCGGUAGGAAAAAAAAAAAGCGUCAGCAAUUUAUGGCCCGGCUGCCCAACUUUGUUGCCAUUCGCGUUUCAGCGCAACGAUUGCCGCGUGUGGUGGCGUCCAAACGAGUGAUAAGAACCCGGCUCUUAUCAAAACGCCCCAACUACAAAAACGAAACAAAUCAGUUCUCCUUGAGCGCGAAUGAGUGGUUGCCGUGUGCGCUGCAAAUCACCUGCACAGAAACCCAAUGUUGGUUUCUUCUCAAAUAAUUUGCAAUUUCAUGUCUGAUAUGUUCAAAUGAUCUGGUCAAAUUUGAGAAGAAUUUAUCCAUUUCAAAAGUUUAAACACGUUUUGAAUUUAGUGGCAGAUCAUCACAAAAAAGAUUCAUUAUUGCAAAACUAUUAUUCAUAGAAAUAAACCAAUAAAGUUAUAUUUUAAAGGAAGCUACAGUGUGCGAAACAGUUGUUGUGUUUUAAGUUUGCAAAAGGAAAAAAGGUUCCUUAACAUUGAUUUUCUGUGCCCAAUAAUAAAAUAAAUAAAAAAAAAAUAUUUUUUUUUUUCGACUGCUAAUUGAGAUAAGGGUAUAGUAUUAUUUAUAGGCUCACGCACACAAACGGCACUCACAUGCGCUAAAUAACGAAUCUUGAUUGGCGAUCAUUUUCCGGCUUAUAAAUCUCGUGUCAAAUUGGGGAUUUUUGUUUCUGUUGGAAGAGGUUUCCCUGCUUCAGUUCCUUGAUUUUAUCGUGCAGUUGAAUUCAUUUUGUAUUUAUGUCAUUUAAUUCGUAUUGUAUUCUGCAUUUACAAAUGGAAAUAUACUCCAUUAUAUUCGUGACUAGAAAGGGAGAAUUUAGGAAUUGCAGUCCGCAUGAAAUGUUAUAUAAAAACAUUAUACGAUUAAGAACCAGAUUUAAAGGCGCAUAGUCACCCAUAUCGAUUCAUAUCCGCUGGUCAAGCCGGCAAUCUGCAGAAGUGUAUUCACGGUUGCCGGGCUGAUUUCUCUGGCGCGUACACCUUCAGAAAAGUAGAAAAAUGGCCCCCGAAUAGUUAUAGUUGUGGAUCGGUCUUAUCGACUGCCACACGCUCCACGCAAAAAGUCUUGCGACUUCCAACCGACCGACAAAAUGUCAUAUCAUCCGCAAAUAAUUGUGAAAUUCCUCCUCGAACUGUGGAGAGCUCAACAAAGGGUAAUAUAACCGUAAAGGCAAUUUAUUGUUGGCCAAGUUAAUCGCGUGCCUCAAGUGCUCGGCCGUCUGUCAAAUUAUCAGCUGUUUCCCAUUAAUUACAUGCGCGCCUAUCGCCACUUUCCGCAUUCAGCAUUAAGCAUUCGGCAUCGAAAUUUCCUAAUAAAGUUACUCAUACGCACCGUUGCUGUGCCAAAAAAUA